UUGGUUUUGUUUCAUGUACCUUUCCUGGCAACAGGGUCCAUUUUGUUCACUGGUUACCAUAGGAGCCUGCUUGCUCUCAAGAGCAGUAAGUGUUCCCGGGAAGUCAGCAAACUACAGGAAAGGACGGAUGAACAGUCUCUUGCCCAGAUUAUGAGUCAACAGAUCAUGAGCAUUUUUGCUGGCUUUUCAAAAGUUUCAUGCCUAUACAGUCCAAUGAAUUAAAAUCCCCAAUGAUUCAGCUCGUGCUCAACAUUCUGAAUAAGUGCCACGCUUUCUCAGAACUGGGCCAUAUAGUAAAGGCACAGUCAGUGACAACUCAUCCAGAUACCCUAAGGGCCAGCUACAUUCCUGCACCAAACUACUCUGGAGACUCCAAAGUCAGUGCAGAUUGGAUUCCAAUUUAAUACCAACAAUCCUGACCUUUCAGAUGAUCAAAUUAAGGAGAAGAAACACAAGUAAAUGGAAGCUUUUGCUUUAGAAUGGCAAUUUGAGAAGCAUUCAAAUAUUGUCCUAGGAGGACUUCGUACCUUCCUAGAAAUUGACUCUUCCCUUCUCAUUAUAUUCUGACCUUUGAAAUGGAGCACUUUGCUCCAGAUGCAGUAGCUGAAAUGAAAUGGUACUUUAGGUUCCGGAGAGGGCGGUUUUCAGGCAAAGCAACCAGGCACCAGGGAAGGUGGAGACUGUAAACCAAAAACUUUGUACUAUACUUGGAAUUGAAAAUUGAUCAAUCUGCCAGAACAGACAUCUCCUGUAUUCGGACACCUGGUAUCUAAUCUAGUAAGCAUUCUAAUUGUUCUCAUUUCUUCCAUGACAAAAUACAAACUGCUGCCUGAAGAGGAAAAAAAAAAAAGAAUAUUCAAGAUAAUGUUGAUUAUAGGGUCAAAGAUCCACUCUGAACAGCCUCUCUUCUGCAGCUCAUUGACUUUUCUCCAGUUCUUUUCCACAUCAACAAUGUAUUUCGAGAAGGCUCUCUGGAGCAUUUCAAAGCAAUAUCAUCUUGAGUCUUCAUGAAAUGAACUACAUCAAUAAAGUUUAUUGAAAAUUGAGAUGGAAAAUCUAUAUAAGAGCCGGGCGUGGUGGCACACGCCUGUAAUCUCAGUGGUUCAGGAGGCUGAGGCAGGAGAAUUGUGAGUUCAAAGCCAGCCUCAGCAAAAGCAAGGUGCUAAGCAACUCAGUGAGACCCUGUCUCUAAAUAAAGUACAAAAUAGGGCUGCAGAUUUGGCUCAGUGGUUGAGUGCUCCUGAGUUCAAUCCCCAGUACCCCCCCCCAAAAAAAAUCCUAUAUAAGUUCAUAUGUAUGAGAAAUUACAUCUUAAGAUGUCUGAGACUCUGAUAAAGCCUACAAUUCUCUCCAAAUCGUCCAUAACCAAGGCGUGGGGGCACCCAGAUAUGCACUUUGAUGAUUAGAGACCCCCCAAUAUACAUGGAUUGUCUUCCUUUCACUCAAAACAGCAUGUGCCUGGUGGUGGAAAAAAACAUGUCAAAUCCAUACUUUCCUGUAAUAUCCAAAGCAUUUGAUCUUCACAGUAGACAGGCCUUCUAUAAAGUGACAUUUGGGGGAUAGAGUCAAAUGCCCUCUACAGUCUCAUUCGAUUCCUACUGAUAAACUGCCUUUUAAUUCAGGAUGAAAGGAAAUGGCAGAAAGUGCAUAAGAAUCUUGGGGCACAGUCUCACUGUCCUAUAGGGCUCUUCCCUUCUAAGUCAAGAACAGCACAGUCUACAAAGACAGGAGAGAGAUCUGUGGAGGAAACUAAACAAAUUCCAAGUCUUUCUACCUCUCCCUCCCACUCUUGAGAUGAAACAGCACAUAUAUCCAUUUCUGUAUUUCAGAAGUACAGCCUGGCCUUCCUCAGAGUUACCUAUUAUUCCACUGGAGAAAAUGAUAGAAAUUUGUGUAAUUUAAAGAGGACUGACCCAGCCUCCCUUUGCUCAGUGACAGGCUGUUUUUAUUCAAUCAGAAACUAUGAUCAGAUAAAAUAGUACUUUUCAUUCCUGACUUAACAACAAAUGGAGAGCAGUUGGUAUAUUUGUUUUGAAAGUUGUUUUUUUAAAAUCUUUCUACUCAAAUAAUCCUAUGUGGGUGUUGCUGACUCUGUGAUAUAUUAACGGCACCAUUUCUUUUCUACUAAUUGUAUGUUGGAUAAUACAAAAUUCCUAGUAAAAGCAAAACAUUGUGGUCAGGGUAUUACUGUUCUCAAACAGGAUAUGACAAAAGACAGGUAAGGAUAUUCUCUAAGAAGAGGCCUGUAUUAGAAGAAAAUUGAGUUAGGUGACUUAUUAGGAUUUUUAUUAAAUUUUAAGAACUUUCUGAUUUGUUUUGCUCUUAGCAGGGGCUCCUGCCCUGUCCUUUGAAAGCAUAUUAUGUCAUCUAUAACCAUAUAGUCCAUGAUUAACAUUUUGGAGAGCAUUUAAUUUUUAAAUGAACUAGGAAGAUGAGCACUUGGACUGUUUUUAAAACCGGAUAAGUAUUUCAUACCCUAUUAUGAAAUUUUUACCUCUUUUCUCUGACUCUGGUUAAAGUAUGUUUAGAGCCUCUUCAUUUCAGUUAAUGUUUUUUUCUUACUAAAUAAGAAAUUAAGGCCCCAAGUUAUGAAAUGAUUUGCUUCACUGCUGCUUAAUGACAAGAAACCCAAUUUCUAGAGUUCUUUCCAUCAAAUGUUGGUCUAUUUUACUAAUUUGCAUUAGUUUGGUUACAUCUCUCAGUGGUUUUUUUGUUUUGUUUUGUUUUGUUUUGUAUGUGUAUAGCUAUUCCAUUUUAUCCUCUAAUGAGGUAUUUGAGAAUCUUGAAAUUAAUCACUCAUUCACUCAUUCAUUCAGUAGAUAUUACUGAACCAAUAAUAUGUACAAGGGAUUUGAAAUGGCUAAUGUAGGAAUGGAGUACCAAGCUCAUAAGCCUCAAGAUGGUUUCAUGCUGGUAGGAGACACUUUAUACCAUGGCAAUUCUCCGGGCUGAGUCACCCUGCAGGCACAGUAAGCACUAAGUCUAGGCCAAUGAUAUUUUGGGAAACCAUGAAAUAUUUUAAUUUUAAUUUUAAUACCUUUCAAAUCAGAAGAAAAAAAAACAGAAUGUAUCCUACCUGAAUUAUAUUUGUCUUUAUACCAACACUGUCAUAAAACAUAGCUUUCACUACCUUUUUUUGUGGAUAAAGGGUAACACAAAAGCCAAAAGGCCCAGCAUACAAGAAAAUCAUAUUGUCUGGAAACAGUACCCCAAACAUUUUACCCCUCAAUUCCACCCUAAGGCAUUCAGAAAGCUGAUAAGUUCAGAAAGGGAUUUCUGCAUUAGCCCCAGUUCCCACCUCAGAGGCCAAUCUACAUAUCUCCCAUCUCCAUUCUGAAUAGCCCUCUCUGGAAUUUUGCUUCAGGCUGAAUUUUCCUUUGUAGAGGUCAGAUCACAAAGAUAGCUCAGGUGAUAUACCAGCAGACAACAGUUUUUGGAUCUUUGGAAGCAAGCAGGCCUUUUGUACAAACAUCCUAGAAUUAAAGCACCAUGUGUUGGUAAAGAUGGCGCCCAAGCGCUUCUCUUCUGGAAGCUCAGGUCCAUGAAUGGCGCCCGAACCAUCACCUCCAAUCCCUGUGAAUGGCCGGAACUUUGAAUGGCGCACCUCCAAUCCCUGAAGUUGUGCGAACUCUCAGCCAAUGAAGAAGUAACAGCCUACUUGCCCUGCUCCUCCUCAUCCUGCGUUGUUAAGCCAAUAAAUAUCAACACCCUGUUCUUGCUCUCUCUCUUACUCUCCCUCUCUUUCUCUCCCCCUCUCUCUUCCCCUCUCUCUCUCUCCUCUCUCUCUCUCUUCCCCCCACUUCUCUUCUGCGACUGGCCGCUAAGGUCCUGCCAAUAAAAUCUCAGGUAAACAGUU